AUUCUCAGUUCGGAUUGUAGGCUGAAACUCGCCUACAUGAAGCUGGAAUCGCUAGUAAUCGCGGAUCAGAAUGCCGCGGUGAAUACGUUCCCGGGUCUUGUACACACCGCCCGUCACACCAUGGGAGUCGGAAAUGCCCGAAGUCUGUGACCCAACCUUAGGGAGGGAGCAGCCGAAGGUAGAAUCAAUGAUUGGGGUGAAGUCGUAACAAGGUACC
rnacentral:rRNA from 1 species